GUCGGUGUGUCCGAGUGGUUAAGGAGACAGACUAGAAAUCUGUUGGGCUCUGCCCGCACAGGUUCAAAUCUGUCGCCGACG
rnacentral:tRNA from 1 species